UUCCCUAUAUAGUGCACUACUUUAUACUACAGCCCUAUUCCCUAUAUAGUGCACUACUUUUAACCAGAGCCCUGAAUAGACCAGACACCUAAUCAUCUAUAUACAUCUUAAUCUAGCAUUGUGUUUCUCCUAUUAAUCACCCUGUGAAUGACUCUCUAUGGGUCCAGGUUAACACACUAUAAAGGGAACAGAAUGACUCUCUAUGGGUCCAGGUUAACACUCUAUAAGGGGAACAGAAUGACUCUCUAUGGGUCCAGGUUAACACACUAUAAAGGGGAACAGAAUGACUCUCUAUGGGUCCAGGUUAACACACUAUAAAGGGGAACAGAAUGACUCUCUAUGGGUCCAGGUUAACACUCUAUAAAGGGGAACAGAAUGACUCUCUAUGGGUCCAGGUUAACACUCUAUAAAGGGGAACAGAAUGGCUCUCUAUGGGUCCAGGUUAACACACUAUAAAGGGAACAGAAUGACUCUCUAUGGGUCCAGGUUAACACUCUAUAAGGGGAACAGAAUGACUCUCUAUGGGUCCAGGUUAACACUCUAUAAGGGGAACAGAAUGACUCUCUAUGGGUCCAGGUUAACACUCUAUAAAGGGAACAGAAUGACUCUCUAUGGGUCCAGGUUAACACUCUAUAAGGGGAACAGAAUGACUCUCUAUUGGUCCAGGUUAACACUCUAUAAGGGGAACAGAAUGACUCUCUAUGGGUCCAGGUUAACACAUUAUAAAGUGAAUAAGAGUCCAUUUGGAACACAGCCACAGUAGUAAUAACAAAGGUAUUUUUUGAUCAAAAUCCCUGUAAAUAUCUGCGGUAUCCUUGCCAACCCAUUUCAAUCUGCAGGUUGUUUUUUUCUUUUCAAAAUCACAACGUGACAGUAAACCAGUCUUUAAAGAAAAAAGAGAUCUGAAACCAUGCAACACUCAACAAGCCCACGUUACAGUUACUUCUGGGUUCGCCACCGUUUUGAAUGGCAUCAUCAAUAUCAUCAUCAUCAUCAUCAUCAUCAUCAUCAUCAUCA